CGUUCACUCUCCACACACACCGCGACUGGAUUUGAAGGCUCAUGCAGGUCGUCUGUCAACAUCGGCAAAAUCUACUAAUCGAGACUUCCUCCAUUGACAGAAGCAGAGAGAUGGUUUUGCAAGGGCUGAUUCGAUACCUGUGUGAGAAACCAGGAGACUUAAUCCAGGAGUACAGUUGAGAGGCAGCGGUUCAAGGAGACUUCAUCAGACCUCAAUCCAACAGAACACCUUUGGGAUGAAUCAGUGGAAACUGAAAGCCAGUCUCCUCAUCCAACAUCUGAGAUAUGCCUAUGCAGAGCGGGGACUUCCUCCAUUGACAGAAGCAGAGAGAUGGUUUUGCAAGGGCUGAUUCGAUACCUGUGUGAGAAACCAGGAGACUUAAUCCAGGAGUACAGUUGAGAGGCAGCGGUUCAAGAAGACUUCAUCAGACCUCAAUCCAACAGAACACCUUUGGGAUGAAUCAGUGGAAACUGAGAGCCAGUCUCCUCAUCCAACAUCAGUGUGUGACCUCACAAAUACGCUUCUGGAAGAAUGGUCGAAAAUUCAAAUGAACACACUCCUAAACCUUGUGGAAAGCCUUCCCAGAAGAAUAGAAACUUUUAUACUGUAGCUGCAAAGGGUGGACCAACGUCAUAUGGAUUAAGAAUGGGAUGUCACUCAAGUUCAUAUGCGAGUCAAGGCAGGCAACUCAGUACUUUGGCUAGUGUAGUGAGUAGAACGAUGCUGCGGUCGUCUUGGAAGGUCAUCUUUUGUAUGUCAGGUUAAAUGUACACUGAAUAAAUGUUGUUAAUUGAAAUACUGAUUGUCUAUUUGUGUAUAAACACCACACACCACAUCCUUUGAAAAAAUAUGGUAACAGACUUACUUUAAACAUGCGUAACUGCUCAAAAUAAGUGAGGCAAUUAUAUUACGCAUGAUUUUAUCAUGUGAAAUAAACCAGAAAAAAUCAGGGAAAUUUCCUUGAUUUAUUUUGAAUAUGCUUAAUUGCAUUGAGAUAUUUUACACAACUUUUUUUUGAUAUACAUGAAUAAUUUGAGUAAAUUUCCAUGAUUUUUUAAGACUAUUUUCUUGAAAAUAAAAGGGUUAUAUUUUCCCCUAAUAUUUUCAGUCGUAAUAAAUUGCCUCAAUUUUU